rnacentral:rRNA from 1 species
UAGGGAAUAUUGGUCAAUGGGUGAGAGCCUGAACCAGCCAUGCCGCGUGCAGGAAGACGGCCUUCUGGGUUGUAAACUGCUUUUAUCUGGGGAUAAAAAAGCCCAUGCGUGGGACAUUGAAGGUACCAGAUGAAUAAGCACCGGCUAACUACGUGCCAGCAGCCGCGGUAAUACGUAGGGUGCAAGCGUUGUCCGGAUUUAUUGGGUUUAAAGGGUGCGUAGGCGGUCUAUUAAGUCAGUGGUGAAAUCCAACAGCUCAACUGUUGAUGUGCCAAUGAUACUGAUGGACUUGAGUACAGACGAGGUAGGCGGAAUUGACAGUGUAGCGGUGAAAUGCAUAGAUAUUGCCAAGAACACCGAUAGCGAAGGCAGCUUGCUAGCCUGUAACUGACGCUGAGGCAC